UACGGGGGGAGCAAGCGUUGUUCGGAUUACUGGCGUAAAGGGCGCGUAGGCGGUCAGCACAAGUCAGUUGUGAAAUCUCCGAGCUUAACUCGGAAAGGUCAACUGAUACUGUGCGACUAGAGUGCGGAAGGGGCAACUGGAAUUCUUGGUGUAGCGGUGAAAUGCGUAGAUAUCGAAGAGGAACACCUGCGGCGAAGGCGGGUUGCUGGGCCGACACUGACGCUGAGGCGCGGAAAGCUAGGGGAGCGAACGGG
rnacentral:rRNA from 1 species